rnacentral:lncRNA from 1 species
AUUGUCCUAGUCAUCAAUGAGGGGGAUAGGACCUUUAUCAGGACUCCGGGAUGGGGUGUUUUUAAGCUUGGGACUUCGGGAUUGAUCCUUUUGGGAUUUCAGAUUUCUUUUCUUUGAAUUUAGUGACCUCAGGAUUUCUUAUUUCUAAGCCCGGGAUUUUCGGAAUUUUGUGUUUUUAAGCCAGGGAUUUCGGGAUUUUGUGUUUUUAAGCUCGGGAUUUUGGGAUUUUGUGUUUU